GAGCCCGGGGAUUUCACAUCUGACUUAACAAACCGCCUGCGUGCGCUUUACGCCCAGUAAUUCCGAUUAACGCUUGCACCCUCCGUAUUACCGCGGCUGCUGGCACGGAGUUAGCCGGUGCUUCUUCUGCGAGUAACGUCAAUCGCUGCGGUUAUUAACCACAAUGCCUUCCUCCUCGCUGAAAGUACUUUACAACCCGAAGGCCUUCUUCAUACACGCGGCAUGGCUGCAUCAGGCUUGCGCCCAUUGUGCAAUAUUCCCCACUGCUGCCUCCCGUAGGAGUCUGGACCGUGUCUCAGUUCCAGUGUGGCUGGUCAUCCUCUCAGACCAGCUAGGGAUCGUCGCCUAGGUGAGCCGUUACCCCACCUACUAGCUAAUCC
rnacentral:rRNA from 1 species